rnacentral:rRNA from 1 species
AUUGAACGCUGGCGGCAGGCCUAACACAUGCAAGUCGAGCGGAGCGGCGGACGGGUGAGUAAUGCCUAGGAAUCUGCCUGGUAGUGGGGGAUAACGUCCGGCAACGGGCGCUAAUACCGCAUACUAUCAGAUGAGCCUAGGUCGGAUUAGCUAGUUGGUGGGGUAAAGGCCUACCAAGGCGACGAUCCGUAACUGGUCUGAGAGGAUGAUCAGUCAACCGUGAUCUGAGACAGGGUCUAGAUGCCUAGGGGGGGCAGCAGGGUGGAAUAUUCGACAAUGGGCGAAAGCCUGAGCCAGCUAUGCCGCGUGGGUGAAGAAGGUCUUCGGAUUGUAAAGCACUUUAAGUUGGGAGGCGUUACCAACAGAAUAAGCACCGGCUAACUGCUUGCCAGCAGCCGCGUAAUAC